rnacentral:rRNA from 1 species
GGUUCGAUUCUGGCUCAGAUUGAACGCUGGCGGGAUGCUUUACACAUGCAAGUCGAACGGCAGCACGGACUUCGGUCCGGUGGCGAGUGGCGAACAAGGUGAGAAGGUAUCGGAACGUGCCUAGUAGCGGGGAUAACUACGCGAAAGCGUAGCUACUACCGGCCAAUGCCCUUCGGGGGAAAGCGGGGGACCUUCGGGCCUCGCACUAUUAGAGCGCUGAUAUCGGAUUAGCUAGUUGGUGGGGUAUCGUCGUUCAAGGCGACGAUCCGUAGCUGGUUUGAGAGGACGACCAGCCACACUGGGACCGAGACAUCGCCCACUCCUACGGGAGGCAGCAGUGGGGAAUUUUGGACAAUGGGGAAACCCCGAUCCAGCCAUCCCGCGUGUGCGAUGAAGGCCUUCAAGCAGAAGUCUCUUGGCAAGGAAAGAAACGGCAUGGGAUAAUACCCCGUGUAACUGACGGUACCUGCAGAAUAAGCACCGGCUAACUACACGCCAGCAGCUGCGGUAAUACGUAGGGUGCAAGCGUUAACGGAAUUACUGGGCGCAAGCGUGCGCAGGCGGUUCGAAAGAAAGAUGUAAACCCCAGAGCUUAAUCCUCUUGGAACUGCAUUUUUAACUACCGAGCUAGAGUGUGUCAGAGGGAGGUGGAAUUCCGCGUGUAGCAGUGAAAUGCGUAGAUAUGCGGAGGAACACCGAUGGCGAAGGCAGCCUGGGAUAACACUGACGCUCAUGCACGAAAGCGUGGGGAGCAAACAGGAUUAGAUACUCCUGGUAGUCCACGCCCCAAACGAUGUCAACUAGCUGUUGGGGCCUUCGGGCCUUGGUAGCGCAGCUAACGCGUGGAAGUUGACCGCCUGUGAGUACGGUCGCAAGAUUAAAACUCAAAGGAAUUGACGGGGACCCGCAAGGCGGUGGAUGAUGUGGAUUAAUUCGAUGCAACGCGAAAAACCUUACCUACCCUUGACAUGUGUCUAAAUCCUGAAGAGAUUUGGGAGUGUCGCAAGAGAACCGGAACACAGGUGCUGCAUGGCUGUCGUCAGCUCGUGUCGUGAGAUGUUGGGUUAAGUCCUGCAACGAGCGCAACUCCUGUCAUUAGUUGCUACGAAAGGGCACUCUAAUGAGACUGCCGGUGACAAACCGAGGAAGGUGGAUGACGUCCUUAUGGCCCUUAUGGGUAGGGCUUCAACACGUCAUACAAAUGACGGGACAGAGGUCAAACCGCGAGGAGCACACGGUAACGCAGGUGCAUCUCCCGAUCAAGUUCAUCGCAGUCUGCAACUCGACUGCGUGGGAAGUCGGAAUCGCUAGUAAUCGCAGAUCAGCAUGUCGCGGUGAAUACGUUCCGUCUGUACACACUGCCCGUCACACCAUGGGAGUGGGUUUUACCAGAAGUAGUUAGCCUUAAAUCCGUAAGGAGGGCGAUUACCACGGUAGGAUUCAUGACUGGGGUGUCGAAAUAAGGCAG